AUGAAACACUCCUACGGGAGGCAGCAGUAGGGAAUAUUGCUCAAUGGGGGAAACCCUGAAGCAGCAACGCCGCGUGGAGGAUGACACUUUUCGGAGCGUAAACUCCUUUUCUUGGGAAAGAAUUAUGACGGUACCCAAGGAAUAAGCACCGGCUAACUCCGUGCCAGCAGCCGCGGUAAUACGGAGGGUGCAAGCGUUACUCGGAAUCACUGGGCGUAAAGGACGCGUAGGCGGAUUAUCAAGUCUCUUGUGAAAUCUAACGGCUUAACCGUUAAACUGCUUGGGAAACUGAUAAUCUAGAGUAAGGGAGAGGCAGAUGGAAUUCUUGGUGUAGGGGUAAAAUCCGUAGAGAUCAAGAAGAAUACCCAUUGCGAAAGCGAUCUGCUGGAACUUAACUGACGCUAAUGCGUGAAAGCGUGGGGAGCAAACAGGAUUAGAAACCCUUGUAGUCCGAAGUUC
rnacentral:rRNA from 1 species